GCACAGGAUGGCUCAGCUGAUAGAGCAUGAGACUCAGGGUCGUGGGUUCAAGCCCCACUUUAGGCA